rnacentral:rRNA from 1 species
AGCGAACGCUGGCGGCAGGCCUAAUACAUGCAAGUCGAGCGCACCUUCGGGUGAGCGGCGGACGGGUGGGUAACGCGUGGGAACGUGCCCUUUGGUACGGGAUAACUGAGGGAAACUUCAGCUAAUACCGUAUGUGCCCUACGGGGGAAAGAUUUAUCGCCAUUGGAGCGGCCCGCGUUGGAUUAGGUAGUUGGUGAGGUAAAGGCUCACCAAGCCUACGAUCCAUAGCUGGUCUGAGAGGAUGAUCAGCCACACUGGGACUGAGACACGGCCCAGACUCCUACGGGAGGCAGCAGUAGGGAAUCUUGCGCAAUGGGCGAAAGCCUGACGCAGCCAUGCCGCGUGUAUGAUGAAGGUCUUAGGAUUGUAAAAUACUUUCACCGGGGAAGAUAAUGACGGUACCCGGAGAAGAAGCCCCGGCUAACUUCGUGCCAGCCGCCGCGGUAAGAC